rnacentral:rRNA from 1 species
AACGUAGGAGCCAAGCGUUAUCCGAAUUCACUGGGCGUAAAGCGCGUGUAGGCGGUGGGCUAAGUUGGCUGUGAAAUCUCCUGGCUCAACUGGGAGAGGACGGUCAAGACUGGCGCACUGGAGGACGGUAGAGGGAGGUGGAAUUCCCGGUGUAGUGGUGAAAUGCGUAGAUAUCGGGAGGAACACCAGUGGCGAAAGCGGCCUCCUGGACCGUUUCUGACGCUCAGACGCGAAAGCUAGGGGAGCGAACGGGAUUAGAAACCCCAGUAGUCC